rnacentral:tRNA from 1 species
GCCUGGGUAGUUCAGUUGGUUAAGCAUCUGACUUCAGCUCAGGUCAUGGUCUCAUGGUUUGUGGGUUCGAGCCCCGCAUUGGGUU